rnacentral:rRNA from 1 species
UACGUAGGGCGCAAGCGUUAUCCGGAAUUAUUGGGCGUAAAGAGCGUGUAGGCGGCCAGGUAGGUCUGGUGUGAAAACUCGAGGCUUAACCUCGAGAUGUCAUCGGAAACCAUUUGGCUAGAGUCCGGAAGAGGAGAGUGGAAUUCCUGGUGUAGCGGUGAAAUGCGCAGAUAUCAGGAAGAACACCAAUGGCGAAAGCAGCUCUCUGGGACGGUACUGACGCUGAGACGCGAAAGCGUGGGGAGCGAACAGG